UGGGGAAUAUUGCACAAUGGGCGCAAGCCUGAUGCAGCCAUGCCGCGUGUGUGAAGAAGGCCUUCGGGUUGUAAAGCACUUUCAGCGAGGAGGAAGGGUUCAGUGUUAAUAGCACUGUUCAUUGACGUUACUCGCAGAAGAAGCACCGGCUAACUCCGUGCCAGCAGCCGCGGUAAUACGGAGGGUGCAAGCGUUAAUCGGAAUUACUGGGCGUAAAGCGCACGCAGGCGGUUUGUUAAGUCAGAUGUGAAAUCCCCGCGCUUAACGUGGGAACUGCAUUUGAAACUGGCAAGCUAGAGUCUUGUAGAGGGGGGUAGAAUUCCAGGUGUAGCGGUGAAAUGCGUAGAGAUCUGGAGGAAUACCGGUGGCGAAGGCGGCCCCCUGGACAAAGACUGACGCUCAGUGCGAAAGCGUGGGGA
rnacentral:rRNA from 1 species